UGGAGAAGUGGCAGAGUGGUCGAUUGCGGCAGUCUUGAAAACUGUUGGAUUGAAGGAUUCCGUGGGUUCGAAUCCCACCUUCUCC
rnacentral:tRNA from 1 species